GACGAACGCUGGCGGCGUGCUUAACACAUGCAAGUCGAACGAUGAACCCGGAGCUUGCUCCGGUGGAUUAGUGGCGAACGGGUGAGUAACACGUGAGUAACCUGCCCUUGACUCUGGGAUAACUGCGGGAAACUGUAGCUAAUACCGGAUACGACCCUCGGCGGCAUCGCCAGGGGGUGGAAAGAAUUUCGGUCAAGGAUGGACUCGCGGCCUAUCAGCUAGUUGGUGAGGUAACGGCUCACCAAGGCGACGACGGGUAGCCGGCCUGAGAGGGUGACCGGCCACACUGGGACUGCUACACGGCCCAGACUCCUACGGGAGGCAGCAGUGGGGAAUUUUGGACAAUGGGGGCAACCCUGAUCCAGCAAUGCCGCGUGAGUGAAGAAGGCCUUCGGGUUGUAAAGCUCUUUUGUCAGGGAAGAAACGGUUCUGGAUAAUACCUGGGACUAAUGACGGUACCUGAAGAAUAAGCACCGGCUAAC
rnacentral:rRNA from 1 species